CUGCGCCUGCGAAGGACGUAGCGGCACCCAAAAGGAUACAUGGUCUUGCAGGCGGCCGGGUGCCGUACCGUCUGGUGAUCGCAAACUUUUGCGAUUCAAAGCCCUUUC
rnacentral:ncRNA from 1 species